rnacentral:rRNA from 1 species
GACGAACGCUGGCGGCGUGCUUAACACAUGCAAGUCGAACGGAAAGGCCCUGCUUUUGUGGGGUGCUCGAGUGGCGAACGGGUGAGUAACACGUGAGUAACCUGCCCUUGACUUUGGGAUAACUUCAGGAAACUGGGGCUAAUACCGGAUAGGAGCUCCUGCUGCAUGGUGGGGGUUGGAAAGUUUCGGCGGUUGGGGAUGGACUCGCGGCUUAUCAGCUUGUUGGUGGGGUAGUGGCUUACCAAGGCUUUGACGGGUAGCCGGCCUGAGAGGGUGACCGGCCACAAUGGGACUGAGGUACGGCCCAGACUCCUACGGGGGGCAACCGUGGGGAAUUUUGCACCAUGGGGCGGAGGCUGAUGCAGCAACCCCGCGUGGGGGAAGACGGCCUUCGGGGUGUAAACCGCUUUCGGCCGUGACGAAGCGUGGGUGACGGUAAUGGGUAAAGAAGCACCGGCUAACUACGUG